rnacentral:rRNA from 1 species
CCUAACACAUGCAAGUCGAACGGUAACAUUUCUAGCCUGCUAGAAGAUGACGAGUGGCGGACGGGUGAGUAAUGCUUGGGAACUUGCCUCUGCGAGGGGGAUAACAGUUGGAAACGACUGCUAAUACCGCAUAAUGUCUUCGGACCAAACGGGGCUUAGGCUCCGGCGCAAAGAGAGGCCCAAGUGAGAUUAGCUAGUUGGUAAGGUAACGGCCUACCAAGGCGACGAUCUCUAGCUGUUCUGAGAGGAAGAUCAGCCACACUGGGACUGAGACACGGCCCAGACUCCUACGGGAGGCAGCAGUGGGGAAUAUUGCACAAUGGGGGAAACCCUGAUGCAGCCAUGCCGCGUGUGUGAAGAAGGCCUUCGGGUUGUAAAGCACUUUCAGUUGUGAGGAAAAGUUAGUAGUUAAUACCUGCUAGCCGUGACGUUAACAACAGAAGAAGCACCGGCUAACUCCGUGCCAGCAGCCGCGGUAAUACGGAGGGUGCGAGCGUUAAUCGGAAUUAC